rnacentral:misc_RNA from 1 species
AUCCCCAAAUCUGGGCCUGAGCCUAAGAGGAGGCACCUUGGGACGCUGCUCCAGCCUACGGUCAACAAGUUCUCCCUUCGGGUGUUCGGCAGCCACAAAGCAGUGGAAAUCGAGCAGGAGCGGGUGAAGUCAGCGGGGGCCUGGAUCAUCCACCCCUACAGCGACUUCCGGUUUUACUGGGACCUGAUCAUGCUGCUGCUGAUGGUGGGGAACCUCAUCGUCCUGCCUGUGGGCAUCACCUUCUUCAAGGAGGAGAACUCCCCGCCUUGGAUCGUCUUCAACGUAUUGUCUGAUACUUUCUUCCUACUGGAUCUGGUGCUCAACUUCCGAACGGGCAUCGUGGUGGAGGAGGGUGCUGAGAUCCUGCUGGCACCGCGGGCCAUCCGCACGCGCUACCUGCGCACCUGGUUCCUGGUUGACCUCAUCUCUUCUAUCCCUGUGGAUUACAUCUUCCUAGUGGUGGAGCUGGAGCCACGGUUGGACGCUGAGGUCUACAAAACGGCACGGGCCCUACGCAUCGUUCGCUUCACCAAGAUCCUAAGCCUGCUGAGGCUGCUCCGCCUCUCCCGCCUCAUCCGCUACAUACACCAGUGGGAGGAGAUCUUUCACAUGACCUAUGACCUGGCCAGUGCUGUGGUUCGCAUCUUCAACCUCAUUGGGAUGAUGCUGCUGCUAUGUCACUGGGAUGGCUGUCUGCAGUUCCUGGUGCCCAUGCUGCAGGACUUCCCUCCCGACUGCUGGGUCUCCAUCAACCACAUGGUGGUGAGAAGUCCCCACAGCUCUGCCUUUCCUGGGCCUUCUUAGGGCUCUUCUGCCUGAGUAGCAGGGAUGGCCACAGGGAGCAGGAGGUGGGAGAUGAUCACAACAGAAAAUAGGAGCGAGGAGGUGGGGAGGAGGGAGGAAAGGGGAAGGAGACCCAGAAGAAGUGCUCGUGUGUUGGAGGGAGCAGGCAAAGGAAGGGUACCUACCCGGAAGCUGAGGCCCCCAAGUUGCAAUAGAGGACCCUUUUGCCUCAGGGCCCCCCAGAACCAAACUUAAGUGCCUGCCAGGAGGAAGGCCUGCAGUAGAAGGGGCAGACAGAAAGACCAAAGAAGGAAAAGGGGCAGGCAGAGAAUGAGGCUCCGAGGGGCCCAUGCCCAGCUCUGCAAUAUACUCUGCCCCUCAGAACCACUCGUGGGGCCGCCAGUAUUCCCAUGCCCUGUUCAAGGCCAUGAGCCACAUGCUGUGCAUUGGCUAUGGGCAGCAGGCACCUGUAGGCAUGCCCGACGUCUGGCUCACCAUGCUCAGCAUGAUCGUAGGUGCCACAUGCUACGCCAUGUUCAUCGGCCAUGCCACGGCACUCAUCCAGUCCCUGGACUCUUCCCGGCGUCAGUACCAGGAGAAGUACAAGCAGGUGGAGCAGUACAUGUCCUUCCACAAGCUGCCAGCAGACACGCGGCAGCGCAUCCACGAGUACUAUGAGCACCGCUACCAGGGCAAGAUGUUCGAUGAGGAAAGCAUCCUGGGCGAGCUGAGCGAGCCGCUUCGCGAGGAGAUCAUUAACUUCACCUGUCGGGGCCUGGUGGCCCACAUGCCGCUGUUUGCCCAUGCCGACCCCAGCUUCGUCACUGCAGUUCUCACCAAGCUGCGCUUUGAGGUCUUCCAGCCGGGGGAUCUCGUGGUGCGUGAGGGCUCCGUGGGGAGGAAGAUGUACUUCAUCCAGCAUGGGCUGCUCAGUGUGCUGGCCCGCGGCGCCCGGGACACACGCCUCACCGAUGGAUCCUACUUUGGGGCGUGGACCAUUUCAAUGCUGUGCUUGAGGAGUUCCCCAUGAUGCGCCGGGCCUUUGAGACUGUGGCCAUGGAUCGGCUGCUCCGCAUCGGCAAGAAGAAUUCCAUACUGCAGCGGAAGCGCUCCGAGCCAAGUCCAGGCAGCAGUGGUGGCAUCAUGGAGCAGCACUUGGUGCAACAUGACAGAGACAUGGCUCGGGGUGUUCGGGGUCGGGCCCCGAGCACAGGAGCUCAGCUUAGUGGAAAGCCAGUACUGUGGGAGCCACUGGUACAUGCGCCCCUUCAGGCAGCUGCUGUGACCUCCAAUGUGGCCAUUGCCCUGACUCAUCAGCGGGGCCCUCUGCCCCUCUCCCCUGACUCUCCAGCCACCCUCCUUGCUCGCUCUGCUUGGCGCUCAGCAGGCUCUCCAGCUUCCCCGCUGGUGCCCGUCCGAGCUGGCCCAUGGGCAUCCACCUCCCGCCUGCCCGCCCCACCUGCCCGAACCCUGCACGCCAGCCUAUCCCGGGCAGGGCGCUCCCAGGUCUCCCUGCUGGGUCCCCCUCCAGGAGGAGGUGGACGGCGGCUAGGACCUCGGGGCCGCCCACUCUCAGCCUCCCAACCCUCUCUGCCUCAGCGGGCAACAGGCGAUGGCUCUCCUGGGCGUAAGGGAUCAGGAAGUGAGCGGCUGCCUCCCUCAGGGCUCCUGGCCAAACCUCCAAGGACAGCCCAGCCCCCCAGGCCACCAGUGCCUGAGCCAGCCACACCCCGGGGUCUCCAGCUUUCUGCCAACAUGUAAAACCUUUGAGUACAUCCAGCCUUAGUUCUUGGGGUGCAGUAGUAUGUACCCAAGGGCAGAUGCCUCUUGGGGAAGGCCAUGGGGACCUGAAACAUUGCCCCAUGGAAAUGUCGACCCUGUGCGGACAUUCCGCAUACUGCCAUGAAGACGGUCUCUGUGUCCUCAGCUCAAGAAUCCUGUAGCUUGUCCCAUCAUAAUCCAUUCACCCGUUCAUCAUGUGUACUGAGCAGCUACCAUGUUCAAGGUAAGGAGACAGGAGGAGUAGGAGGAGGCAGGGCCUCUCCAUGCCAGCCUCUGUGGUCCUUGCCCAAACCCAUCAGCGCAAUACUUGAACCUUCUCCCAGGUAGGGGCAGGAGGAGCCACAUGAGAGAGGGAGAAGGACCGCGUUUACCUUUAGAGUUUUGUUUUGUUUUUUCCUUCUGAGUUUGCUGUUGGUGCAGGAAUAAGGGAAAGGCCCAAGGUAUCCAAGCCUGGGGAAGGGCAGGCCAGCCAGCACCUCUGCCUUCUCAGGGACAAGAGUAGUCCUUUACCACCCUCACUCUGCCUGUCCCCUCUCCUACUCUACAGCAUUAAAGACUGUGGGACCAGGACCCUAAGUCUCCUUUCCUUCUGGGUGGGGAGUUCUGGGGUUCUUGGUGUGUGGGAGAAGUUUUAUAAUUGCUUCCAAACAGCUGGGUUUAAAUAUAAAAUAGACACACUC